GCGGGGCUGGGCCGGGCGGAGGGGCCCGUGCCGAUGAGCGGUGUCGGGCUGGAAGCGGUCAUCGCGCGGCCGGAUAACGUCGGACGCGGCUCCCGCAAGGUGAGAGCUUAGCACAGCAAUGAAGUUGGGAGAAAUGUAACUCGGUUCGCCUUUAAAUGCUGCAGAAGGCAAUAUGGAUAUCUGAGCUGCAGAUAAAUUCGCAAAGUAGGAAACUGCUCACUGUAAGAAAUCUUCUCUUGGCUGCUAAAUGUUUAAAAUCCUUCCUUUGAAAUGAAUACAGCAGUUCUUGUGAUGGUUCUGCAGACACUGCAUAUACCAAAUGGAUCUUGGAGACAUGCACAACGCGAGGAAAACACUGCAUCCAUCUCACAGUCUCUGGUUGCCACGGCAAAGACAGGUAUAAAUAGAAACAAUCUGAUACACUUUUUAAAAACUCUAUCAGGGAACAUGCGUUGUUGGUAACUGUCUGACAGCAACGCCUUAUCCCAAAUGGCCGCAGUGACUAUUUGCCUGGAGACUUCUGAGCCUAUGUGUUUAAUCCUUUCUGUCUAAGCAAAUAUCAGCUAUUUCUGCUUGUCCUUCCACUGGAACACAAGAACUAUCUGUGAAGGAAAGUUUUGACAGAUGUCUGUUUUGCUAAAAACUUCCUCCAAUCAAACAAAUGCUAACUAACACCAGGCAUGGUGGGGAACUUGGAAAAAAAAGCUUUCUCCUCAGCUACCACCAGCAGCGGCCAUUCAAGUGACUAGCAGUGAAGUGAUGAACAGUUUUUACGUGUUCACUGGUAGCUUCCACACACUUGGCACCAGAGAGAUAGAUGGGGCACUGAAUUGCUUUCUGUUAAACAAAAAGGGAGUCAGCCAGAGAUUAAUUCUGCUCAUCGCUGCUUGCAGUUACAGAAUAAAGCCUGAUUGAUCUGAACCACCUUUGAAACCAACAGGAUGAAUUAAAAAUGAAAACCUAAGUUUCUGCAGAAGCUAACAGGUUAUCUGCAGACAUUAUAACUUGCUGGUUCUGCAAGAAGUGUUAAAUAAGAAAAUAAUGUAUGGCAUGAGCUACUGUGUCAUUUUCUUUAUACAAACACAGUUAUGUUAAGCGACGGAAGUAAUGAAAAAAAUCAUGAAGAUGCUUAAUUUCAGAAGCGCGGGGGCUGAAAUGCAGGAAGUUUUGUUGUGAAGGAAUAGUUCCCAUCAGCACUAUUACAAUCACUCCAUAAACCUCAUAUCUUGAUCAACUGUCAGAUAUAAUCAUGGCACUUAUUACAAUCUCUUGAUACAGAAAAAUCACAUCACUUCUAGUGGAGUUACGUGACUGAUCUCUCAAAGGCCACACAGUUCUGAAAGUUGGCAUUGUUCUGAAAUCUUAAUUAACCAACAAAAAGCAAAACGAGCCAGCUCUUCUCCCCGUAAGUGACAAUGGCACUUUGGUUGCUGGAAACCUCCAGCUCUUGCUAAUGCACUUUGCAGAUCUGACCUACAGCCUCACAUUGGUGUGCCAGCAGCUGGGCACUGGGCCGUGCUGGCCCUCUGAUGGGAAGCAGACAGUGCUGUGCUGCAGGGCCAUGGGAGGCAGGGAGGUGGGUUACAGUGCAGAUGCUGCUGCCCUCCCGCAGCUCUCAUGUGCAGGGUGCCUGGCUGGGGGCUGCAAAGCACCUGGCUCGGGUGUCUGCCUGUGGGAUGCUGCUGCACUGGGAAAUGUGCUGCAAAAACACUCUUUGGUGGAGGCUGAAUGUAGAUCCAGAGGGUUAAUUUUAAGUGCUCGCAUUUCUGAUGUGUUCCGUAGGUGCAGAGUUAUGUAAUUGGAGGGAAAAUUACAGUGCAAGCCAUGUACUGUAUUAAUUUACAACUAGUUAACGACAACUAAGGGCAGUUUGAAAACAGUUCUAUAGGCAAGCAGACAGGAGCUAGAGCAUGCAGGUAGAUGCAUCAGGUUCCUUUUUUCAACAAGUAGAAACCAAGAAAAAUUUUUUUUGUUGGUUGGUUUGUUUAUUUAUUUGAGAUAGUAUUAGGCAGCUUUUCUCCACUCUUUAGAAACAAAACCCUUCAGACAAAGGAGAAGAAGCACUAGGCACCCAUAGGCAAUUUCUGGUGCCUCAGACCUCACAAGAAGGGCUCCUCAGGGCCUCCCUCCAGGCUUUUCAUGGCCCAUGUUGGAACUAAGCCUUCAGAAGUUUUUCUUAAAGCUAUGGCUGGGCUUAUACAUGCAGUUUGCUGUUUCUGAAUGAAGUCACACAUGCCAUGUUCAUGUUUGUGUUAAAAUACUGGAAAGCGUUUCCCUUUUCCUCAUAGGAAAACUGCAUACAUGACCUGGAGUACAGCUAUUUCCAAUGCUUGGCUCCUCAGGAAGAGGAGCUGUGCCAGCUCUGCCCAGCAGCACAGAGCACAGCCUCCUUGAUUUCAGCACAUCUGAGAUUCUCUUUUCAGGUGUAAGGUCUCCAUAACUCCACUGCUGCAGUCCAUUCUCUUGAGUCUCCAAUACCUGCGGAUGCUAGUUUUAUGUUUUCUUAGGACAAAAUGAAGACAAGAUCCAAAAAAAGACUCCAAGGUCAAAAAACAUUUACUGCCAUAUUUAUGCCAAAUGGCAUCACUGCAGUGAUCCAGGUGCUCGCAUGCUAAGAACCUCUGCACUGCCUGUGCUGACAUCCAGGAUUGCUGCAGAGACACUAAGGUACAGGUGGGAUCAAUUACAGCCAUGCUGGAGUCUGUGUGCUGCGAGGCACAGCUCCCAGCCCUGCUGGCACUGCUCAGCGCUCGUCAGUAGUACAGGAGGUGAUCUGAAAACUGAGAACGUUAGGGCUACUAAACCUCCCCCUGUGACCCUGUGUGUUCUGAACAACCUCACUGGUUUCUUUUUUUACUCACACCCUAGCAGAAGCACUGGAUCUAUUUCCCUAAGUACUUUUUUUGUUUCAUUUUUUUCCCUUAAAUGGCCACAGCCUUAUGUUACUGCUGAGCCUCAGAAGACAAUCAUGCCUGCAGUAUUUUCAUCCUGUCAGCUGGUGCUGGAUUUCAAAACAGGAUGCCCACUUUUCCCCCCAUUAUUCACAGCAGUGAGAUGCAGAAUCCUGAGCUUUUGUUUCCAGUUGGUUACACGGUCCAACGUGUGAUUCAUUCUUCCUGCAGCCAUGUUUCCAGGAAAAGACAAUACUGUGGCCCCUCUCCAAGUCACCCGCAGACUGCUGGAGGCUUGAGCUGGAGAGUGCUCCUGUGCCUGCAGCUGAGACACUUUCUAAGAAGAGAUGAGGGGACGAGGCCUCAGACGUGGACUGCUGUUAUCUCCCAACAAACAAGCAAGGAGGGACACAGCCUUGGGAAAGCACAUGCAGCACAGAAUCAAGGUGCAGAUAAGAGCAGAAUGUACAGGAUUUAAAAUUCUUGGCCCUGUGAAGCACAACAAGCAUCUGCAAAGAGCUAGUCUCUGUUCUUGGGAUUGAGGCUGAUUGCCAAGCCAAUGGUUUAAGGGCCUGCAGUGUCCCUCCAAACAUUUAGGGAGACUCCUGGCUGCUCGAUGCCGUUGGUGUGGACUAUAAUACCCAUGGAUAUUGGAGUUUCCCAAGAGUUGUUCAGACAGGAGCUGGUAGUGAUGGCUUCCAGCUCUGCUCUCAGGGAUAAAGCUUCUCAUGGCUCUGUGUGGUGGAGCCUGGGCCGGAGAGCUGCGUGGCCAUGCGCUCCAGCACUUGGCUUCGGCAGCAGUCACGCACAAAUGUGCAUGGAUCUGCUGGCAAGGAACUGUGGUGGGGAAGGCCUGGGCUGGGCAGUGCAAGGGCUUGUCUGCAAACAGUGCCAGUAGGCAGCAACUCACGUGUGUGGGGCAAGCAGGCCAAGUGCAGAGCAGAACCACUUCCCCAUGAGCCUGUGAGCAGGAGCACAGCUCCUGCAGUGCCCUGCCAGGUCUGGCAGCCUUCCCUUGUUGUGCCCCCCACGUGCAAUGACACAGGUAGCUGGGCUCACGGCUCAGCAGCAGCAGCGUAGGCUCCAGUGCGUGAGCCCUUUGGGCUCCCCACGUGUUCAGCAAAGAGGGAAUCUGGUGCUUUGUGUUUUCAGAAUAAACCAUGGCUCUGUUCCAUCUCCAUGUUUAGGGAA